GGGGGUGUAGCUCAGUUGGUUAGAGCGCAUGCCUGUCACGCAUGAGGUCGCGAGUUCGCCCCUCGUCCCUCCCGCCA
rnacentral:tRNA from 1 species